AUUAGAUACCCUGGGUAGUCCACGCAGUAAACGAUGAAUACUGGGGUGUUCGGAAUGUAGAUUCUGAGUGCCGAAGCGAAAGCGUUAAGUAUUCCACCUGGGGAGUACGCCGGCAACGGUGAAACUCAAAGGAAUUGACGGGGGCCCGCACAAGCGGAGGAACAUGUGGUUUAAUUCGAUGAUACGCGAGGAACCUUACCCGGGCUCAAACGCCGCCGGACAGGAAAAGAGAUUUUCCCUCCUACGGGUCGGCGGCGAGGUGCUGCAUGGUUGUCGUCAGCUCGUGCCGUGAGGUGUCGGCUUAAGUGCCAUAACGAGCGCAACCCCUGCGGGCAGUUGCUAACGGAUAAAGCCGAGGACUCUGCCCGGACUGCCGGCGCAAGCCGCGAGGAAGGCGGGGAUGACGUCAAAUCAGCACGGCCCUUACGUCCGGGGCGACACACGUGUUACAAUGGGGCGGCACAGAGGGAAGCCAUGUGGCGACACCGAGCGGAACUCGAAAGCCUGUCUCAGUUCGGAUCGGAGUCUGCAACCCGACUCCGUGAAGCUGGAUUCGCUAGUAAUCGCGCAUCAGCCAUGGCGCGGUGAAUACGUUCCCGGGCCUUGUACACACCGCCCGUCAAGCCAUGGGAGCCGGGAGUGCCUGAAGGCCGUGACCGCAAGGAGCGGCCUAAGGUAAAACCGGUGACUGGGGCUAAGUCGUAACAAGGUAAC
rnacentral:rRNA from 1 species